AGAGUUUGAUCCUGGCUCAGAUUGAACGCUGGCGGAAUGCUUUACACAUGCAAGUCGAACGGCAGCAUAGGUGCUUGCACCUGAUGGCGAGUGGCGAACGGGUGAGUAAUACAUCGGAACGUGCCCAGUCGUGGGGGAUAACGUAGCGAAAGUUACGCUAAUACCGCAUACGAUCUACGGAUGAAAGCGGGGGACCGUAAGGCCUCGCGCGAUUGGAGCGGCCGAUGUUAGAUUAGGUAGUUGGUGGGGUAAAGGCUCACCAAGCCGACGAUCUAUAGCUGGUCUGAGAGGAUGAUCAGCCACACUGGGACUGAGACACGGCCCAGACUCCUACGGGAGGCAGCAGUGGGGAAUUUUGGACAAUGGGCGCAAGCCUGAUCCAGCCAUUCCGCGUGCAGGACGAAGGCCUUCGGGUUGUAAACUGCUUUUGUACAGAACGAAAAGCUCUGGGUUAAUACCCUGGGGUCAUGACGGUACUGUAAGAAUAAGCACCGGCUAACUACGUGCCAGCAGCCGCGGUAAU
rnacentral:rRNA from 1 species